AUUGAACGCUGGCGGAAUGCUUUACACAUGCAAGUCGAACGGCAGCACGGGUGCUUGCACCUGGUGGCGAGUGGCGAACGGGUGAGUAAUACAUCGGAACGUACCCAGUCGUGGGGGAUAACGUAGCGAAAGUUACGCUAAUAACGCAUACGUCCUGAGGGAGAAAGCGGGGGACCGUACGGCCUCGCGCGAUUGGAGCGGCCGAUGGCGGAUUAGCUAGUUGGUGGGGUAAAGGCCUACCAAGGCGACGAUCCGUAGCGGGUCUGAGAGGACGGCCCGCCACACUGGAACUGAGACGCGGUCCAGACUCCUACGGGAGGCAGCAGUGGGGAAUUUUGGACAAUGGGCGAAAGCCUGAUCCAGCCAUUCCGCGUGAGUGAAGAAGGCCUUCGGGUUGUAAAGCUCUUUCGGCAGGGAAGAAACGGCUUGGGAUAAUACCCCGGGCUAAUGACGGUACCUGAAGAAGAAGCACCGGCUAACUACGUGCCAGCCGCCGCCGUAA
rnacentral:rRNA from 1 species